GAUCUUUCUUUUCUACACGGAAGGCUAAAUGGGCCUGGAGUUGGGUAUUUCCUUCGAUGCAUGUUGGUUAGGAUUUGAUAAAAUAGUUUUCCUUGCAGGAAAGGCCUUGUUAAGGAGAACAGAGAGCUUUGGACAUACUUCAAAGAAUCUCAGACCAGAGUAGAACAUCUGUCAAGGAUAUGAGAACGAAGAAUAAGGAGCAAAGAGGCUUUGAAAGGUGAAGGUGAAGGAAGAAUAAAAGAACACUUUCACUGAAAAGUGGUCACGCUAUUAACAAUGUUUUCCAGCCUGCCUUGCAUUGAAGUGAGUCCAAGUGCUGAGUUCUUAUCUAUGGAACGUGAAAGGGUAUAAUGAGUAUCAUUCCUGGACUAAAGUAUUUGUGAGCCAGGUGUGCCUCCACUGUAUUGCUUGUCCUUCUCCUAGGAGGAUGAAAAGAACAUUCAGGUUCCCAGAGACAGAGAAAAAAAGCACAGAAUGGAAAGAACUUGCAUACGUGAAGUAUCACCUGGAAGCCAGCUCCCAUUAACCGAGAAC